rnacentral:lncRNA from 1 species
GUUGCAGAGUCAAGAAGGAAUAGAAUCUUCACGGCAAAGGUGGUUUUACGGGGGUAAAUUGUUAGGUGACAAACUGCAUGUUGAAGAAGCCAAAAUACCACAAGGAUAUGUGGUACAAGUCAUAGUCAAUAUGGAGACUUCAUAAUAGAGGAUUACUUUAGAACUUGGUAAUCUGUAUGAAGAUAGCCAUGCAGACGCCAACAAUGGGAAUUAUUAGAAAUAGGCCAGACAAAAAUUUAGCUAGGAAGUUAAAAGUCAUAUCAAUAAUUUUUUACUUUAGGAAAUGUGAUUUUUAUCGAAAUAGCUGAAAAAAUAGCUGAAAGUUAAGAUUAAUUCUAGGUGACUAAAACUCAAAACGUUUUUUACAUAACGUUACACGAAGAUGAUGACUACUUUAGGAUGAAAGAAGUGAAAAAUAAAUUGGAAAACAAAUAUUUAAAAUGAUUUUUUUAUUUUUUAUAUAAUUUGGGGAGUGUUUGUACAAAAUAUACGUAUAAAAAAUGUCAAGGAUGUUCAAUGUCAAAAACGGCUUACCGUGCAUUAUUAGGGAGGAGGGUUAUGGUUUGAAAUUGAAAUAAACAUUUCAUUCACAUUUUUGUGAAUUUUUUUAAACUAUGGUAGAACUAUAUGAUAGAAGUAAUCAUAUUAAGCACAAUUCAAAGAAUAUCAAAAAAAAUUCAUGGCAAAAUAUUGAAAAAUAAGCCAACGGUGGCAAAUUUUUACACACACCUCAAAAAAAAAUGCAUUUUUCGGUGUACAUAUAUCAGAAACUCAUCACUCGAUCAUGUGAAA